rnacentral:rRNA from 1 species
AGGAAUGUAUAGCAAUAGCUACUUGCAUCAUUGUAGAUAUGAUGCAAGCUCGACUAUGUUGAAUAAAAUUCUAGGUAGAAUUAUGAUAAUGACAUUGUCUGCCUAUGUGUCUUGACCAAAUUACGUGCCAGCAGUCGCGGUAAUACGUAGAAGACUAGUGUUAUUCAUGUUUAAUCGGUUUAAAGGGUACCUAGACGGUAGAUCAAGCUUUCUAAUAAAUGAAAAGGACUAAUUUACUAGAGUUACUUAUGAGGGGGUAUUAAAGUACUGCUGGUGUAGAGAUGAAAUUCUGUCAUACCUCUUUUCAAAAGAAAAACCAUGGCACAGGUAUAGGCGAAGGCAUCCCCUUAUGUGAUAACUGACGUUGAGGGACGAAGGCUUUGUGUAGCGAACAGGAUUAGAUACCCUAGUAGUCGAAGCAGAAAAUGAUGAAUGUCAUAGAUUAGAUGUAUAAGUUUAUUCUAUAAAUGAAAGUGUAAGCAUUCCACCUCAUGAGUAAUUUGGCAACAUUGGAACUGAAAUCAUUAGACCGUUUCUGAAACCAGUAGUGAAGUAUGUUGUUUAAUUUGAUGAUCCGCAAAAAACCUUACCACAAUUUGAAUAUUUAUAUUUUUUUUUUGUUUUCUUCUGAUUUUCUUCCUUUUUCCAAAGAAGAAGAAAAUAAUGCUGAUAAAGAUCAAAAAAGGAAGAAAAUUAAGCAAGAGGCAAUAAGAUAUAUUUACAAGCGUUGCACGGCUGUCUUCAGUUAAUGUCGCGAGACUUUGGUUAGUUCCAUUAAAUUAACGUAAACCCUUACUUUAUUUUUAUAUAGAGUAGUUCCCCGCUAUAUUGGAUAUGAU